rnacentral:rRNA from 1 species
ACGAACGCUGGCGGUGUGCCUCACACAUGCAAGUCGAACGGGGUAGCAAUACCCAGUGGCGGACGGGUGAGUAACGCGUGGGAAUCUGCCCUGAGGUGGGGGAUAGCAGGCCGAAAGGCCUAUUAAUCCCGCAUAUGCCGAAAGGUAAAAGGAGUAAUUCGCCUUAGGAUGAGCCCGCGUCCGAUUAGCUAGUUGGUAGGGUAAAGGCCUACCAAGGCUCCGAUCGGUAGCUGGUCUGAGAGGAUGAUCAGCCACAAUGGAACUGAGACACGGUCCAUACUCCUACGGGAGGCAGCAGUGGGGAAUUUUGUGCAAUGGGCGAAAGCCUGACACAGCGACACCGCGUGAACGAGGAAGCCCUUUGGGGUGUAAAGUUCUGUCAGCAGGAACGAAUAAAUGACGGUACCUGCAGAGGAAGCAUCGGCUAACUACGU